ncrna:Petromyzon marinus (sea lamprey) microRNA pma-mir-96a precursor
UUACCCGCUUUGGCACUGGCACAUACUUGCUUCACUGUGAAACCCUGAGCAAUUAUGUGUAGUGCCGACUCGGGUAG